rnacentral:lncRNA from 1 species
CCUAUGCAAUGUAAGAGAAUAAAAGAAAGGAUGCAUUUUAGUUGUUUGCUUGGCUCACUCAAAUAAGUCCAAUUGAAAGCCAACCUAAUAUUGUACGACAAGCUCUAGUGCAUUUGCCUGGCCUAUCAUCCAAAAGUCUAUUAACAGAACCACCACUACUAACUAGAAGAAAAGAAUAAAGAUCUGAAACUUUCACCCACUCCCUUCAUUUGGAUACUUAUUUUUAACACCCCUCUUUAGGAGAUUUUUUUACCUUUUUUAUAAUAAAAUAUGUUGAAAAAUUAAAAUUUCAUAUAAGAAAAGUUGGCUACUAAUGAUUCAUAAUAAAAUCAAAGAAUAUAUACCUUUGGGUGUCAUCAGACUAUACAAUUAUUGCGAGUCAUUUACUAAUUUAUUUAUAUUAAAAAAUUAUUUCUUUUUAAAUGCAAAGGUUGCGCCACUUUGACCUAGGUCCGAGUUCAAAACAAGAAAACAAUCUCUCCGCAUACAGAGGCGAGGCUGUGCAUAUCUGACUUCCUUCAAAUCUUGUAGUGGUAGAAGCUGAUGCACUGUGAUGCCCUUUUUUAUAUAUAAAUCAGUUCUUGUAUUUUCUACUCAUGUAUUUUCUUAUAUGUUACUCAAUAUCAAAUGACUCUUAUCAAUGUGGAACCACCAGGACAAUCAGAAAAUAAAUUGAUAACUUAAUUUUUUCCCCAUGCCAACUCCUCGAGUCAUCAUGUCUGUUCCAUGAAAUCAUGUCCCUCGUAUGCACCAACUAUCAGUAAACGAACAAAUAGCAGGGCCUGAAAAAAUGCAUUUUGAAUCCAAAAAUUGAAGUCCCCAGUGUGUCAUUGAUAGGAUAACAGACAAUCCAGUGCAGUUGUUUGCACGGGCACGAAUUAAAUUGCAUUCCCUGACGAAUUCAACUUUUCAGAGGCAAUUAAUUUUCAUUAACGAAACCUAGGACAGAACGGCAGAAAUCGCAAAAAUGCACGCCUUCCUUUAAUUCAAAGCCACAAAAUCCAAAUCCAAAAAAGAAAAAAUACUCCCAAAAAAACAACAAAGAUCAAAACUUUUCUCCAAAUUUCAACCGCAAAGAAGAGGGAAAAUAGAGCAUAGUUGCGAUCCAUAAGAA